UACGUAGGGAUCAAGCGUUGUUCGGAUUUACUGGGCGUAAAGGGCGCGUAGGCGGCUUGUCAAGUCACUUGUGAAAUCUCUGGGCUUAACCCAGAACGGCCAAGUGAAACUGACAUGCUAGAGUGCAGAAGGGGCAAUCGGAAUUCUUGGUGUAGCGGUGAAAUGCGUAGAUAUCAAGAGGAACACCUGAGGUGAAGACGGGUUGCUGGGCUGACACUGACGCUGAGGCGCGAAAGCCAGGGGAGCAAACGGG
rnacentral:rRNA from 1 species